rnacentral:lncRNA from 1 species
GCUACCGAUGUAUCGGGAAGGUGAAGCUAGCAGUUGCCAGCCAUGGCGGAAAGCUACUGGUGGGAAGGGAGGCUCGGCAAGGCACAGGAAUACUUAUCCGCCUCUGACUCUUUGCACAGUGGGCACGGCCCCAAAGAACAGUUGGCAGAACAUGCUGAGGGAAGAGGACGAUGAAGCCUUACACAGAAGUUGCGUGCAGCAGUGUGCAAAGACACAACUCCAGCCGAAGCUGAAUUCAGAUUUCAGAGUUUGUGCAAGGGAGGGGAUGCGGCAAAGAUCCUGGCGUUCCAGCUGA